rnacentral:rRNA from 1 species
AGAAUCAACGCUGGCGGCGUGCCUAACACAUGCAAGUCGAACGCGAAAGCACCGCAAGGGGUAAGUAGAGUGGCAAACGGGUGAGUAACACGUGGGUGACCUGCCUUCGAGUGGGGGAUAACGUCCCGAAAGGGACGCUAAUACCGCAUGACAUCCUGCUUUUGGAAAAGCGGAGAUCAAAGCUGGGGAUCGCAAGACCUGGCGCUUGAAGAGGGGCCCGCGCCUGAUUAGCUAGUUGGUAGGGUAACGGCCUACCAAGGCAACGAUCAGUA